AAAACCUCUGGAGAUAAAGUAUUUAAGGUGCCAAAUCAGCAGUGUUUCUCGUCUGCUUAGUAAGUGAUAGCUCAGCUGUUUUCCCUGGAGAUCUGAAAAUCUGGUCCCGUGCAUCACGUAGGUGCUGCGAUCUGUCCCCUGGCGCCGUUGCAUCUUGCUUCGAGUCCGCCUGCGCAGCGCGAGAGAUCCGUGGGCUGCGGUUUGAUACAAACAUCUCUCAAAAUCUUCUGAAGAAGAUUGGUGGAAAAGGCUUUUUCCAGUUUGAAAGCUGUUGCUGCGACCGUGCCUUUUCCUGCCCGCUCCGAGGCUCUCCGCAGGCUGGGAGCGAUCGCCUCGGACCGCGCCGCUGCAGCCCGGAGGCGGCAGGGUCCCCUCCAGGGGCUCGUUCCUGGCACCGACGGCCCCGCUCGCCCCAUGCCUACGCGCAGAGGAUGCAGCAAAUUGCCAUCGUGAAAAAGCCAAACCAAGAAGGAAAAACACCCCCCGCCUCCCGCCACCCUCCCGCCCCAUCGCAUGGAGUUUUGCGAGAGCGUUUGAGCAUCGCAAGAGUUAAACGCGAGGGGGGACGCGUGCGGAUCUGUAUUACCCGGCAGAAUAGCUGCGGCGGCGGUGUCUGCCAGCGCGUUCGCAGCUUUGCCUAGCCUCAUUAGCACCUUGCAGCAAGGCAGAGCUUAUUCAAACUAUGUCACAAGUCUUUUGCUUUAGAUUGCAUCUGUGCCUAAUAUGCAUUUUUAUAUAAACAAGGAUGCUAAAUGGCCUUUCGGUUCCUCUGUAAUGUCUUUUUUAAUGGAAGGUCCUGAAUUAAGAACAUGUAUAUAUGACUCUAAGAAUUUUCUAAGUGAUAUUGAAAACCUAUUGUAAAGUAGGAUUUCUUCUUGCAAAAUUAUUUUAAUGAGGUUCCAGUUUAUUUUCUGGCUAUAUUUUACUUAUUUAAUCCUCCAGAGGGGUUUUUCAGAGGCAGCAUCUCAUUUCCGAUGCAACUAUUCUUAGCAUUAGGGAAAACUACCUUUCUGAAAUGCAUGAAGGGAAGAAAAAAAAAAAAAGAACCAGAGGAAGAUGUACGAGAUAAGAAUAAACUUGAAAAGCUUUGAGGUGGUUUAUGGCUU
rnacentral:lncRNA from 1 species